rnacentral:rRNA from 1 species
GAGGGUUCGGCCCUCAGCUGACGGCUCAGUAACACGUAGAUAAUUUGCCCUUAGGUGGAGGAUACCCUCGGGAAACUGAGAAUAAUACUCCAUAGAUCUAGUCUGCUGGAAUGCUUUUAGAUCGAAAGAUUUAUCGCCUAAGGAUAAGUCUGCGGACUAUCAGGUGGUAGUCAGGGUAAAGACCUGACUAGCCUACGACGGAUACGGGUAGUGAGAGCUUUAGCCCGGAGAUGAUAUCUGAGACACGAUAUCAGGCCCUACGGGGCGCAGCAGGCGCGAAAACUUUGCACUGUGCGAAAGCACGACAAGGGAAUCCCAAGUGCUGGCUCGUAAGAGUCAGCUGUUUUUCUGUCUAAAACGCAGAGAGAGUAAGGGCUGGGUAAGACGGGUGCCAGCCGCCGCGGUAAUACCUGCAGCCCAAGUGGUGGCCGCUAUUAUUGGGCCUAAAACGUCCGUAGCCGGUUCUAUAAAUGCCUGGGUAAAUCGUACGGCUUAACCGUACGAAUUCCGGGUAGACUGUUCAACUUGGGACCGGGAGAGGCUAGAGGUACUCCUGGGGUAGAGGUGAAAUUCUGUAAUCCUAGGGGGACCACCAGUGGCGAAGGCGUCUAGCUAGAACGGGUCUGACGGUGAGGGACGAAGCCCUGGGGCGCAAACGGGAUUAGAUACCCCGGUAGUCCAGGGUGUAAACGCUGCUUGCUUGAUGUUAGUCGGGCUCCGAGCCCAACUAGUGUCGGAGAGAAGUUGUUAAGCAAGCUGCCUGGGGAGUACGGCCGCAAGACUGAAACUUAAAGGAAUCGGCGGGGGAGCACCGCAACGGGUGGAGCGUGCGGUUUAAUUGGAUUCAACCCCGGGU